GAUCCUGGCUCAGGACGAACGCUGGCGGCGUGCCUAAUACAUGCAAGUAGAACGCACAGUUUAUACCGUAGCUUGCUACACCAUAGACUGUGAGUUGCGAACGGGUGAGUAACGCGUAGGUAACCUGCCUGGGUAGCGGGGGAUAACUAUUGGAAACGAUAGCUAAUACCGCAUAAUAUUAAUUAUUGCAUGAUAAUUAAUUGAAAGGUGCAAUUGCACCACUACCAGAUGG
rnacentral:rRNA from 1 species